rnacentral:lncRNA from 1 species
GUUUUAGUUUGAACCUUAAAACCAGAUUUAUAUAUUGUAAAAAGAUUUUCACAGAGACUGUGUUUUAGGAGGCCUCAAUCAUCUGUGUGGGAUGUAUAAAAAUUUAAGAAUAAAUAUCAUUUUUAUGUCAUUUCUACACUCCCAAGGGAAAAUUUCAAUUCCCAGCUCACCAAAAGGUUAAAUACUAGUUGAUUUAACCACUAUCCUGCAGAAAAUUUGAAAUAGUAAAGGUUAAAUUUUGACUGGUGCUUAGACAUUUCCUCAUUACAUUAACUCAAGACAGCAGCAUAUUAACCUGAAUCACACCUGUAAGGAACUUACCUUCUAAAUUUGACUUUGUUCUUCAUCUCCAGGGCCUUAAUAAGAGUGUGUUAAAACACAUGACUAUUUUACAAUGAUAGCUCUAAAUAAUUUAUUUUUUAUUUCAAGAAAGAAAUACACGUUAGAGAAACAAAACCCAAG